CCUUAGUUUUAGAAAUAAUAAGACGUAACAGCAGCAAAAUGGUCUUAAAUCAUGAUUUAAUACCCUAUAUAUAAUACAAAGGACAAAAAAAAUCACCAAGUCUUCUACAUCUAAAAGUCCUUUUCACCUUUUAAUACUGUUUGUAAAAUUCUUGAUGACAAAUGGCUAUAUAUUUGAUGUUUUCAUUUUUUGAUGGCACGGCUAUCAGAACAAAAAUAAUUCUCUUAAACACAUAACAUUUUUGCAAAUACAUAGUUUGCCCUGGCAUCUACAAGCAAAAUAUUUAAACUGAGGCAAAAUACUGCAGUCAUUUCAAUGGAGCAUACUAUACUGCGUGUUGCUGAAAUCUCUCCCUAAAUCUUGCUGAUAGAAGACUCGAAUGAUAUGAAUAUGAGAUCUCUUUUCAGGUUUAGUUAACAGCCUAAAUAUCACUGAAGGCACAAACACUUCUACAAAAAAUGAUCUUUAUGUAUAGAGAGGAAAUGAGAAGAAUCUUAGACAAACAUAAAUUCUACAGAUAAUCUCAGAUCUGUGGAGGCAGAAGAGACUGUUCUGAAGAGAUGAAAGGCUG